rnacentral:rRNA from 1 species
AGAGUUUGAUCCUGGCUCAGGAUGAACGCUAGCGGAGGCCUAACACAUGCAAGCCGAGCGGUAGAGAUUCUUCGGGAUCUUGAGAGCGGCGUACGGGUGCGGAACACGUGUGCAACCUACCUUUAUCUGGAGGAUAGCCUUUCGAAAGGAAGAUUAAUACUCCAUAAUAUAUUGAUUGGCAUCGAUUGAUAUUGAAAGCUCCGGCGGAUAGAGAUGGGCACGCGCAAGAUUAGCUAGUUGGUGAGGUAACGGCUCACCAAGGCGAUGAUCUUUAGGGGCCUGAGAGGGUGAUCCCCCACACUGGUACUGAGACACGGACCAGACUCCUACGGGAGGCAGCAGUGAGGAAUAUUGGUCAAUGGGUGCAAGCCUGAACCAGCCAUCCCGCGUGAAGGACGACUGCCCUAUGGGUUGUAAACUUCUUUUGUAUAGGGAUAAACCUACCCUCGUGAGGGUAGCUGAAGGUACUAUACGAAUAAGCACCGGCUAACUCCGUG